CGUGUGGUUCUAUUUUGUUGGUUAUGGGACCGCCGUAAUGAUUAAUAGGGACAGUCGGGGGCAUCAGUAUUCAAUUGUCAGAGGUGAAAUUCUUGGAUUUAUUGAAGACUAACUACUGCGAAAGCAUUUGCCAAGGAUGUUUUCAUUAAUCAGGAACGAAAGUUAGGGGAUCGAAGACGAUCAGAUACCGUCGUAGUCUUAACCAUAAACUAUGCCGACUAGGGAUCGGGCGAUGUUACUUUUUGACUCGCUCGGCACCUUACGAGAAAUCAAAGUUUGUGGGUUCCUGGGGGAGUAUGGUGGCAACGCUGAAACUUAAAGAAAUUGACGGAAGGGCACCACCAGGGGUGGAGCCUGCGGCUUAAUUUGACUCAACACGGGGAAACUCACCAGGUCCAGACACAAUGAGGAUUGACAGAUUAAGAGCUCUUUCUUGAUUUUGUGGGUGGUGGUGCAUGGCCGUUCUUAGUUGGUGGAGUGAUUUGUCUGCUUAAUUGCGAUAACGAACGAGACCUUAACCUGCUAAAUAGCCCGUGUUGCUUCUGCAGCACGCCGGCUUCUUAGAGGGACUAUCGGCUCAAGCCGAUGGAAGUUUGAGGCAAUAACAGGUCUGUGAUGCCCUUAGAUGUUCUGGGCCGCACGCGCGCGACACUGAUAGGGCCAGCGAGUUCUCCCUUGUCCGAAAGGACCGGGUAAUCUUGUUAAACCCUGUCGUGC
rnacentral:rRNA from 1 species